CUCCCCUUGGUUUCAUGUGUAUUUCAUGAUAUUAUUUUUUGCUGAUGGCUAUUCAGUUUAUAAUUUUUUUCAUUUACAAACUCUAGAAAAUAGGGCCAAAGUGGUAAACCUUCAGAACCAUCCAGACCAAGAAGACAGAGGAAGAGUGCCAUUAUGCACAAAGAGGACUGGCUUUGGAGUCAAGAUCAUUGAAGUUUAAGUCCUUCUUACAUUUUCUACUCAUGUGACCUUCACCUUUCAGAACCUCCUGAUCUCCUCUAUCCCCACAGAACAUUUUGUUUGACACCAUUCAUUGUGUAAUUCAUUAUGUGCUGACUGCCUUGUGAUCUCCUUCAGGCCGUUUCCCUACCGAGAUUAUAAAUUCUUGGAGUGCAGACUC